rnacentral:rRNA from 1 species
CUCAGAAUGAACGCUGGCGGCGUGCUUUACACAUGCAAGUCGAGCGAGGCGGGUAGCAAUACCCAGUCGAGCGGCGAACGGGUGAGUAACGCGUGGAUUAUCUACCCUGAGGUGGGGGAUAACCCGGCGAAAGCCGGGCUAAUACCGCAUAACAUCGAAAGAUCAAAGGGGGAGCAAUCUCCCGCCAUUGGAGGAGUCCGCGUCCGAUUAGCUAGUUGGUAGGGCAAUGGCCUACCAAGGCGACGAUCGGUAGCCGGCCUGAGAGGGUGAUCGGCCACACUGGAACUGAGACACGGUCCAGACUCCUACGGGAGGCAGCAGUGGGGAAUUUUGCGCAAUGGGCGAAAGCCUGACGCAGCAACGCCGCGUGGAGGAUGACGGUCCUUGGAUCGUAAACUCCUGUCAGCAGGGAAAAAGGGGACCGGGCUCAUACCCCGGUUCAUUGAUUGUACCUGCAGAGGAAGCCCCGGCUAACUCUGUGCCAGCAGCCGCGGUAAUACAGAGGGGGCAAGCGUUAUUCGGAAUUAUUGGGCGUAAAGGGCGCGUAGGCGGCUCGACAAGUGGAAGGUGAAAUCCCUCGGCUUAACCGAGGAACUGCCCUCCAAACUGUNUAGCUUGAGGCCGGGAGAGGUGAGUGGAAUUCCCAGUGUAGCGGUGAAUGCGUAGAUAUUGGGAGGAACACCAGUGGCGAAGGCGGC